GAGCAUGUACGAUAAUAAAGGUAAGCUGGUUAUCUCUAAUAUCUCAGUGGGAGAUGCAGGGGAGUACUGGUGUGCAGUUUAUGAUGGUGAUUAUGGUUAUUCUCAGUGUGUGU